UACGAAGGGGGCUAGCGUUGUUCGGAAUUACUGGGCGUAAAGCGCGCGCAGGCGGUCUUCCAAGUCAGUGGUGAAAGCCCGGAGCUCAACUCCGGAACUGCCAUUGAAACUGUUAGACUUGAGGAUGAGAGAGGUGAGUGGAAUUCCCAGUGUAGAGGUGAAAUUCGUAGAUAUUGGGAAGAACACCGGUGGCGAAGGCGGCUCACUGGCUCAUUACUGACGCUCAGGCGCGAUAGCGUGGGGAUCAAGAAGG
rnacentral:rRNA from 1 species